rnacentral:rRNA from 1 species
GACGAACGCUGGCGGCGUGCUUAACACAUGCAAGUCGAACGGAAAGGCCCUGCUUUUGUCGGGUUCUCGAGGGGCGAACGUGUGUGUAACACGUGAGUAUCCUUCCCUGUACGUUGGGAUAACUGCAGGAAACUGCUGCUACUACCGGCUAGGAGCUCCUGCUGCAUGGUGGGGUUUGGACAUCUUCGGCGGAUGGGGCUGGACUCGCGGGUUAAGAGCUUGUUGGGGGGGGAGUGGCUUACCAAGGCUUUGACGGGUAGUCGGCCUGAGAGGGUGACCGGCGACAAUGGGACUGAGAGACGGACCAGACGGCAACGGGAGGCAGCAGGGGGAAGUAUGGCACAAUGGGGGGAAGCGUGAUGAGGAGACGCCGCGUGCGGGAAGACGGCCUUCGGGUUGUAAACCGCUUUAGCCUGUGACGAAGCGGGAGUGACGGUAAUGGGUAAAGAAGCACCGGCUAACUACGUG